CCGAUGUAUAGGAGCAAGAAGAUGGAAAACCCCAAUCGAGGUGAACAAAUUAACAAAUUGCACACAGGCUCAUCUACUCUUCCAAUAGUUAAUACAAAAGUUAGGGUUUACAUAUUUAUAAACUUGAGAGAUCUUGCUUUCUUAUUAUAUGACAGAUCCAGCAUUAUAGCUCCAAUCAAACGCAUAGUGUCUAUUUUAAUUUUCUCAGUGUGAAUUGGCCAUUUCUCCUUUACAAAAUGGUGCACCAAAAUACUGGAUAGUCGGAAUGUGAAACCAAUUUAACUCUCACUUAAAAGCAUAGAUAAUUUCAGUGUUAUACAGCUGCAAGUUAUGUUUUACUUAUUCUUUGAACCCUUUACUUCCCUUCUAAGCUUGAAAGCAGGAAACUAAGUCGCCAAGACCCUAGACUGUUCCAAGGGCUAGGAGGUCAUCCUUGAGCAACCUGGCAUGUGGAUUUUAACAACAUGGGCAUUGAAAUUCAAGCUCAGGCGGUACCCCUAUUUCAAAGAAAAUGAGACCACUUGAAAAUGGGUUGAAGUUGAGGAGCACCCAGAGAUAUUCGAGGUGCCUAUUCGGUUUCUGUUGUGCCGUUUACUGCCUUUGCCAAGACCUUUAUGGCCAUUUUGGGUCUGGCAAAGGUACUAAUUUUACUCUUCAUUCCACCACUUUCAUUUGAAUGCCUGGAAAAAUUUGGAAUUGAAAACAUGAUUGGGUUGUAUUAGUUUUUGUGAAGAUUACUUCUUGAUUUGAGGUGUGUGAAAAUAUAUUUUGAUGAUCAGGAGAUGAGAGUACAAGUUUUCGCUUCUAUCUGGACAUUCAAGAACCACCAAAUUGCAUUAUGUUUUCAUCACCGAAUUCAGGACAAGAAAGCUGUACAUGCCUCAUGUAUUACGUAUAAUCACUUGCUUACAUUUCUGUUUCUCAUUUGUACCUAAUUGGUUCAGAUUUUUGUUUUUUUAUAAAUAGUAAUAUGUUCUAUGACAAGCUGGCUCUGUUUCUGAUUUCAUUCUUAGUUUGGAUUUAUAUAUAAACCUGCAAGCAUGCAGUUGAUUAGUAUAUUUGGUGUUUUCCCUCUUAAUGGACAAACUUGCAGUUACAUAAUAUAUAAGUUUGGUACGAUCUGA